UAUAACAACUGUUUUUUGUUUCAUAAUUUGAACAUCUAGAUCACCUUAAAGUUGGCCUCAAUUGCAAAUUUAUAGUAAUUUUUCUCAUUUCUUUUUUACGGUCUAUAACCAUAGUGAUAACAAAUUCAGACACAACAAAUGACAUAAUCGACAUGUCACUACUAAAGCUAGGAAUAACUGUAAGUUAUCUAUAAGUUAUUUUUGUUAAAAACCAACUUUGAUUUUUGAAUUUAAAGAGUGACAUUCAGAUGGACAGAAACAAGAAAAUACUUGUAUAAAAAGAAGAAUGUAAUCUUGUCUUGAAGACAGCAAGUGGUUUUAGGUGUGGGAUUGGGGAGAUUAAUUAAAAAUAAAAUGUAGCUUAAUUUAUUUCAGGUUUGUGAUUUUCCUUUUUUAAAAAAUUAAGGGUGCUGAGAAAGAUUACCAGUUAUGGGUCAGGUCUGGCAAAAAAGAGUCCCCAUCCCCACUUUCCUAAGUGUCAAGGAAAAUCUAAAAUGAGAUUGAUUGGGUUCGAAAUUGUAACUCUAAAGUCU
rnacentral:lncRNA from 1 species